GCCUGGGUGGCUCAGUCGGUUGGGCAUCUGACUUCAGCUCAGUUCAUGAUCUCGUGGUCCGUGAGUUCGAGCCCCUCAUCGGGCU
rnacentral:tRNA from 1 species